UUUAAUUUCCUUCCAUUUCCCCUUCAUUUCCUUCCAUUUCCCUUUAAUUUCCUUCUAUUUCCCUUUAAUUUCCUUCCAUUUCCCCUUCAUUUCCUCUCAUUUCUCCUUCCUUUCCAUCUAUUUCCCCUUCAUUUCCUUCCGUUUCCCUUUAAUUUCCUUCCAUUUCCCUUUAAUUUCCUUCCAUUUCCUCUUAAUUUCCUUCCAUUUCCCUUUAAUUUCCUUCCAUUUCCUCCAUCAUUUCCUUCCCUUUUCCCCCAUUUCCUUCCCUUUUCCCCCACUUCCUUCCCUUUUCCCCCAUUUCCUUCCCUUUUCCAUUCAAUUUUCCUCACUUUAUCCCCAUUUCCUUCCUGUUUCCCCUCUAUUUCUUCCCUUUCCCCCCUUUUCCUUCACUUUUCCCCAUUUCCUUCCUUCUCCCCCUCCACUUCCUUCCAUUUUCCAUUCAAUUUUCCUCAUUCUAUCCCCAUUUCCUUCCUGUUUCCCCUCCACUUCCUCCCCUUUCCCCCAUUUCUUUCCUUUUUCCCCCUUUUCCUCCACUUUUUCCAUUUCUUCCCUUUUCCUUUUCACUUUUUCUUCAUUUUCCCCUGAAUUUUCCCCUCCAUUUUCUUCACAUUUUCUCCUUCCCUUACCCCAAAUCUUCACUUUUUCCCUUUUCCCUUCCAAUUUCCUUCACUUCUUCCUCCAUUUCCUUCACUUUUUACCCCAUUUUCCUCCAUUUCACUUCAAUUUUCCCCAUUUCCUUCCCUUUUCCCCUCAGUUUUCCUCACUUUUCCCUCUACUUCCCUCCCAACUUUCAUUUUUCCCCAUUUCCUUCCAUCUUCCCCCCAAAUUUCCUUCUAUUUCCCCUUCCAAUUUUAUUCACUUUUCCCUCAUUUUUGUAACUUUCUCCCAUUUUCCCUCAUUAUUCACUUUUUCCCCAUUUCCCCCAUUAUUCUACAUUUUUUUCUCCUCUUUUCCCCUCCAUUUCCCCUCCAUUUUUCCCCAUUUCCUUCCAUUUCCCCUCGCAAUUUCCUUUUCUUUUCCCCUCAAUUUCAUUCAUAUUUUCCAUUUUCCUUCACUUUUCCCCCUCAAUUUUCCUUCAUUUCCCCCACUUCCUUCCCUUUCUUUCCCCUUUCCCACCCAUUUUCUUCAUUUUCCCCCAUUUCCCCCUCAAAUUUCAUUUCCCCUUCCAAUUUUCUUCACUUUUUUCCCUUUUCCUUCUAUUUUCCCCCAAUUUCCUUCACUUCUCCCCUCCACUUUCGUUCACUUUUCCCUAUUUAUUUCCCCUUUUCCUUCACUUCCCCCCCAUUUCCUUCGCUUUCCCCAUUUCCUUCCAUUUCCCACUCCAAUUUCCUUCACUUUUCCCUUUUUUCUUCACUUCCCCCUUCAUUUUAACUUUUCCUCCCCAUUUUCUUCCCCCUUGUCCCCCCUUUCCUUCCCUUUCCCCCCCAUUUUCUUCCUUUUUUUCCUCUUUUCCUUCCCUAUUUCCCCUUUUCCUUCCCUAUUCCCCCCCUUCCUUCCCUUUUCCACCUAUUUUCUUAACAUUUUUCCCCUUCCCCCCCCCUUUUCUUCCCUAUUUCCCCCCUUUCCCCCCAUUUUUCCCUUUCCCUCUUUUCCUUCACAAUUUCCCCCCUUUUCCUUCACUUUUCCUCCCUUUCCUCCUCCUUUUCCUUCCAUUUUUCCCCCCUUUUACUUCACUUCCCCCCCCUUUUUUCCCCUUUUCCUUCUAUAACCCCCUUUUUCUCCCCCCUUUUUCCUUCACUUCCUCCCCCUUUUCCCUCAUUAUUUCCCCCUUUUCCUUCAGUAUUUCCCCCCUUCCCCCCUUUUUCUUCACAAUUUCCCCUCCUUUUCCUCCCCUUUUCCCCUCCUUUUCCUUAUUUCCCCCUUUUCCCCCAUUAUUUCCCCCAUUAUUUCCCCCCUUUUCCC
ensembl:lncRNA